rnacentral:rRNA from 1 species
UUAUAUAAACAAGAGACCACCCUGAACAUGCCCAGUCUCAUCUGAUCUUGGAAGCUAAGCAGGGUCAUGCCCGGUUAGUACUUGGAUGGGAGUAAUAUGACUUUAAAUGUA